rnacentral:rRNA from 1 species
UACGGGGGGGGCAAGCGUUGUUGGAAUUACUGGGCGUAAAGGGUUCGUAGGUGGCGCACUAAGUCAGACGUGAAAUCCCUCAGCUUAACUGGGGAACUGCGUCUGAGACUGGUGGGCUUGAGUGCAGGAGAGGAACGCGGAAUUCCAGGUGUAGCGGUGAAAUGCGUAGAUAUCUGGAGGAACACCGGUGGCGAAGGCGGCGUUCUGGACUGCAACUGACACUGAGGAACGAAAGCUAGGGGAGCAAACGGG